rnacentral:rRNA from 1 species
UGGGGAAUCUUGCGCAAUGCGCGAAAGCGUGACGCAGCAACGCCGCGUGGGGGAAGAAGGCCUUCGGGUUGUAAACCUCUUUCAGUUGGGACGAAGCCUUACGGGUUAAUAGCCCGUGGAGGUGACGGUACCUUCAGAAGAAGCCCCGGCUAACUACGUGCCAGCAGCCGCGGUAAUACGUAGGGGGCAAGCGUUGUCCGGAAUCAUUGGGCGUAAAGAGCGUGUAGGCGGCCCGAUAAGUCCGCUGUGAAAGUCCAGGGCUCAACCCUGGAAUGCCGGUGGAUACUGUCGGGCUCGAAUCCGGAAGAGGUGAGUGGAAUUCCUGGUGUAGCGGUGAAAUGCGCAGAUAUCAGGAGGAACACCAAUGGCGAAGGCAGCUCACUGGGACGGUAUUGACGCUGAGACGCGAAAGCGUGGGGAGCAAACAG